UUCAGCUGUCAUUCGACAAGAAAAGGGGAAGCUGUCAGAAUGGUGCCGCUCUUCUAUAACAUAUUUGCCAAAUUUUGUAAUUUAUAAAUUAGUUUAAAGUUUGUUUUCAGUUGCGUUGUUUGUAGAAUUUUUAAAAAAAAACAAAGUGAAAUCAAUAACUUUAUCUGGUAAAUGUAUAAUAAAAUAUUGAAUUUCAUUCAUAUUGGACUCCGAUUGUACUGUUGUAAGAUAAUGUCAACUAGAAUUUUUUACACCAGCAAUCAUUUGCAUAAUUUGACCCACAUGUAAGUGGAAGUAUCGAAAGCCACCGUGUGAAACUUGAACCCACUAAACCAACUCUUAGGAAUAAAUGGAGAAGAUUUUUCCAGCAUUGUGAAAACUUCAUUCCAGUAAUCAGGCUAUAGCGACGAUAAGUGGCACCAAUCAAACAUAUAUGCUUUAAUGAUGACUGCCUCAAAGAAAAGCUAUUGAAAUGUAUUGACAUCAUUUUGGAAAAAAAGAAACUAAUAGAUGAGAUAAAAGUAUAUAGUUUUAUUCAUGGGUGCACGCUUUAAUCAAAUUACCAAAUUACGAUAAAUAAAAUAAACACAAGAAGUGGAUGAAUGGUAUUAAAUGUUUUAUUGAUAAAUUUUUACACAAU